GCAACAACGACACCUGCCCCGACAACAACUGAGGCAACCACGACACCUGCCCCGACAACAACAACUGAGGCAUCCACGACUCCUGCCCCGACAACAACAACUGAGGCAACAACAACACCUGCUCCAAAAACUGAAGGAACAACCACCACGGUGACGUUCAGAUCUGUUCAAAGCACAUUUACAAGUGACUUGAACAAUCAAUCAUCUCCAGCAUUUAGAGAUCGAGUUUCAUUGAUAAAGUCACAGCUUGAACCUGUGUUCCACAUGGCAUUCCCUUCCUCCUUCAUGUCCCUGGACGUGUUGUCAUUCAGAAAUGGAUCAGUCAUCAAUGACGUGAACCUUCUCUUUGCAAGCACAUCUGUUCCUAAUAAUAUUGAGAUUGGGAGGGUUUUUAUCAAUGAUAGUUUAAACUUCACUGGCUUCGACAUUGAAAGGAGCUCAAUCAAAGUGAAUGACACCCUAUAUUCUGAUCUACCUGCCCCGACAACAACUACUGAGGCAACCACGACACCUGCCCCGACAACAACUACUGAGGCAACAACACCUGCCCCGACAACAACAACUGAGGCAACCACGACACCUGCCCCGACAACAACAAC